AGCGGGGUGGGGCAGCUAGGAGUGCCCGGCGGGCUCAUAACCCGCAGGUCUGUGGUUCAAAUCCACACCCCGCUACCA
rnacentral:tRNA from 1 species